UACGGGGGGGGUAAGCGUUGCUCGGAUUUAUUGGGUUUAAAGGGUGCGUAGGCGGCCCGUUAAGUCAGUGGUGAAAGCCUCCAGCUCAACUGGAGAACUGCCAUUGAUACUGGCGGGCUUGAGUACAGACGAGGUUGGCGGAAUUGAUUGUGUAGCGGUGAAAUGCGCAGAUAUCAGGAGGAACACCAAUUGCGAAGGCAGCUCGCUGGGACGUGACUGACGCUGAGACGCGAAAGCGUGGGGAGCAAACAGG
rnacentral:rRNA from 1 species